UACGUAGGGGGGCAAGCGUUGUCCGGAUUUACUGGGCGUAAAGAGCGUGUAGGCGGCCACGCAGGUCCGUUGUGAAAACUGGAGGCUCAACCUCCAGACGUCGACGGAAACCGUAUGGCUAGAGUCCGGAAGAGGAGAGUGGAAUUCCUGGUGUAGCGGUGAAAUGCGUAGAGAUCGGGAGGAACACCAGAGGCGAAGGCGGCGACCUGGACAGAUACUGACACUCAACUACGAAAGCGUGGGGAGCAAACAGG
rnacentral:rRNA from 1 species